rnacentral:rRNA from 1 species
AGUGAACGCUGGCGGUAGGCCUAACACAUGCAAGUCGAACGGCAGCACAGUAAGAGCUUGCUCUUACGGGUGGCGAGUGGCGGACGGGUGGGGAAUACAUCGGAAUCUACUUUUUCGUGGGGGAUAACGUAGGGAAACUUACGCUAAUACCGCAUACGACCUACGGGUGAAAGCAGGGGAUCUUCGGACCUUGCGCGAUUGAAUGAGCCGAUGUCGGAUUAGCUAGUUGGCGGGGUAAAGGCCCACCAAGGCGACGAUCCGUAGCUGGUCUGAGAGGAUGAUCAGCCACACUGGAACUGAGACACGGUCCAGACUCCUACGGGAGGCAGCAGUGGGGAAUAUUGGACAAUGGGCGCAAGCCUGAUCCAGCCAUACCGCGUGGGUGAAGAAGGCCUUCGGGUUGUAAAGCCCUGUUGUUGGGAAAGAAAAGCAGCAGGUUAAUACCCCGCUGUUCUGACGGUACCCAAAGAAUAAGCACCGGCUAACUUCGUG